CCCAAAUCUCAUUCAGAAAAAUCCAAACUCAAAUGGUUUCAUCCAUUCCCUGGGAAUUUUCGUCGUCAUGGAGAAGGGUUUUCGUUGUCCCCGAUGUGGCUCGCUUGAAGGAUCAAUGGAGAAACUCUACAACAAGUGAAUACCCACUAAUCAAGGCAGCUUGAUAUAUGGUUGAUGUAACCGGACAAAAACAACAAGAAUGUCCACACUAGAUCCAUGUGUAUGUAGUCACCAUAGUGACCUUAGUAUGUUGUAACCGUGUAUGUAGCUGGAAACUCUGUGUAUUGUAAAAGUUUACAUAUUGGCGAUGUAAUUGUGAACCAUUAAAUGUGGAUUUGGAAGUUGUAAUUUAAUCUAGUUAUUGAUAGAAGGCUAUGAGAAAAUUAUUAUUCCACCAUUUAUUGUAGCUGCUGAAGCUGGAAUGGCAAAAUUAUUUACUUGAGGUUGACAAA